rnacentral:rRNA from 1 species
GACGAACGCUGGCGGCGUGCUUAACACAUGCAAGUCGAACGGCAAGGCCCUGCUUUUGUGGGGUGCUCGAGUGGCGAACGGGUGCGUAACACGUGAGUAACCUGCCCUUGACUUUGGGGUAACUUCAGGAAACUGGGGUUAAUCCAGGAUAGGAGCUCACGCUGCAUGGUGGGGGUUGGAAAGUUUCGGCGGUGGGGGAUGGACGCGCGGAUUAUCAGCUUGGUGGUGGGGUAGUGGCUUACCCAGGCUUUGACGGGUAGCCGGCCUGAGAGGCUGACCGGCCACAUUGGUACUGAGGUACGGCCCAGAGUCCAACAGGGGGCAGCAGUGGGGAGUAUGGCACAAUGGGCGGAAGCCGGAGGCAGCAACGCCGCGGGCGUGAUGACGUCCUGCGGGGUGUAAACCGCUUUCGCCUGAGACGAAGCGGGAGUGACGGUAAUGGGUAAAGAAGCACCGGCUAACUACGUG